UCCUUAUCCUUCCUUGGUGUUCACCGCCCCAUUCGCUGGAGCGCAGCUGCGUCAGCAGCGCCACGGUUUCCCAUCCCCUCGCCAGACAUGCUCAACAAGGUCAUCCAGGACAUAUACCACCUUCGGCGCGUGCACGCCGUGCUACCUGACGCGGUGCUGGGCGACACUCUCAAAAACAAGCUCCUGCGCCUUUCCUUGCAGCCCUCUCUGCAGGAGCUCAAGCAUCGAGCCCAGCAGGCGUACGCCAGUGCCCAUGAAGGCAAUCAACUAUGUUCUUUGCCCUCGGACAGCCGAUGGGGCCACGGCGGCGGCACGCUGAGCUACUCCCCAUACACCAUCAACCCAUCUGCUCUGUGCAAUCUCUUAGACAGCCUAGCAUACUUCCACUUGGGCAGCAGUGCCGUCGCGAAGGAGGCGGUGCAGCUCGUGCAGCUCAGCGCGCCGUCCAUGUCGGUUCCACAACUGUGCACCACACUGGCUGCGUGCUGCGCGCUUGGAGCGCAGACCGACAUCACAGCGACGGCGCUGCCACUGCUGCGCACGGCAUUGAACUCGUACACCGGGCCGCCAUCCUUGGGGGAUGAUGGGGCGGCGGUGGCGUCGUCAGCGGCCGGCUCGCAUAAGUCCAACGAGGCACCGCUUCUCUUCUCGCAAGGUAACAUCGUUCUGCUGCUGAUGGAGGCGCUGCAGAGGGCCGGGGUUGAGGAUGUGCAGGUGUGGCACCUGCUCGCGGAGCAUUGCCUCCGCUACCUCGACUCCUUCGACGGCAGGCAGCUCUGCAACGUCAUCGAGGCACUCUGUGCCGAGGGCAUCGACGACUACCCAGACUUCUUUGUAGCCGCAGAGCGGCACAUCACGUCGCAGCCGUCUAAUUACUUGUCACCGGAUCAGUUGCAGAGGGUGGUGCACUGCUACAAAGACUUGCAUCAACCAGUGGUGUCGCUGCUCGCGUUGGUCAAUGCGACGCCGCUUCACGGCGAGGAUGUUGAGCGAUCCAUCAGUGCAGCAGCCGCUGUCGUGGCUUUCUCCAGCAGCAGCGGCCUCGACGGCUGUGGCAAGGGUAGCCGAAGUGCGUCGGGCGCCUCAGAGACGGCUCGCGUGGCGACGCUGCAUCCUUCCUUAGAGGCCUUCGAGGGGGCCGCCAUCAAGGCGGUGGAGUCCGCGGAUGCUCAAGGGGUUUUGGACCUCCUCCAAAAGUGCGAGCAGCGACGCGUCAUGACGGCACGCGCUAUGGAUGCCACACUCGAACGCCUACUUGCCUUGUACUACCCCGAACUGCGGAGCGGCGCCGCCUGUGCGGCGGCGAAGGGUACCGAGAGCGCAUCCCCUACCGUGGGCGCCACCGAUGCCGCCGCUCCGCCACCGCAGCCCCGCCACACUCCAGUGGAGCUGCACCAUCUCUCCCAGGCCCUUGUGGCCGCUUUUGAGUUCAAUGAUGCUGCGCUUUUCGCUCAGCAGCUGCCGACUGCGGCGAGCACUGAUGACGGAGAGAUGAAUCCCACGAUGCCCGCCAAACCCGCGGCAGUGACGGCGUUGCUCGACGCCCUCGCCGGGGAACUGACGCGCUGGUACCACCACCGUGUGCUGCACCUGGUGCGGUACGCGUUGCGGCUUCUGCCCGCUCCAUCGCAGCCCCACACUUUCUACCGCGCCGUGGUUGAUCACCUCCGCCGCUCCAAUGACCUCUCGUCACACGAAGGGCCACCGCAGCUUCGCAGUUUGAUCGACGCGCUUCUUGCCUUGCGCGCCUACGGCGGAGAGGCGAUACUCGUGCAGUACAUGCCAGCCAUCACCGUCGCCGUGCAGAACACGCCUCGCAGCACCCAGCUUGAGCUCACGGCUCUGCUGGCCAACUUGCCGUGCGCCAAGGAGGAACUCAUACCCGGGGUCUACCGACAGUGGGGAUCCCAGAAGCGCUGGCUUCGCACCAUCACCGAGGAGGAGGUGGGGUGGGCACUGCAGAUCAUGUCGCGCAGCGGCGGUCUUCGGGACUCACAGAUCCUACAUGCUGUGCUGCAGUACGUGCAGGCGCAGCGCGCACAACUCCCGCCGCAGCGCGUGGUGGAGUACCUGCAUCAGCUGGCUCGACUAGGCGUGCGAGACCUGGAGUUCUUUACACAGACUGCGGAGCAACUGAUGCGGCGUGCGGUCGGGUCCGCCUCGUCCGUGGCUCUCGCAGCACGCGGCGGCGCAGCACAGCCGGUGAGCGCCUCGUCCUCAACUUCUCAGAUGAUGGUGCGACAUCAGCAGUGGCAGGUAACAACGGUCCACGAUCUCUGUCUCCUCCUCUUCACCUUCACGUUUGUGCUGCGCGACUCGAUUCGUGUCACGCAGCAGAUUAUUUCGCGCCUCAAGAUGUGCGCCUCCUCUGCCGCGCCGCGCGACAUCGCGCUAGCGCUGUACAGCUUUGUAAAGCUGCGCGUCGCGCAUAACGACGAGGUCACCGGGCAGCUGUGCGAGCGGGCCUGUGCCACUCUCGCAGAGUUCCGCGCCGCUGAGCUGGCGAGCAUGUGGAGCUCGCUGCGCUGCCUUCGCCAUCCACACGGCAAACUGCGUCAGCGAACGCUCGACUUGCUGGGCUCCAGCACCGCCGAUGUUUGCCCCAACUGGCGGUUUUCAGACAACGACUGCGUCUCCCUCGGCUCGGCUCUGCUCCUGACCGAGGCUCCACCGUCCACCACCGAUCAGCCGCUUGUGCCGCCUCAAGCUCACGAAGACAGCACCGCUGCGGGCGACGCGGAUGAAGGUGAAGCCCCUGCUCUUCCUGGCCCCUCUGCCCCAGUGAGGAGAGGGCUGGGGGCGGCGGUGCCACUUCCCGCAGUGUUCGAGCGGCACUUUGUGGAGGUGUGCCAGCGUCUCCUACCGGCUGCGACGGGUCAGCGGCUGUACCUCAUUCUCUGCAGCCUCAGUGCGUGCCAGACAUCGCUGAGCGUGCCAGUUGAGCUGUGGGAGAAAACGCUGACGACAGUGGAUACACACGCCGAGUCGCUCUCUACAGGAACUCUUGGUGAGCUCGUUGGCACGGCGCAGCUGGAGGUGCUGGCGGCGUUGCGGCGCCUGCGCGCUUGCGUGGUGGAUCCGGUGGCCCUUGCCACAGUGGAGGUGGCGCAGGAAACCAUGUCCAGGCCUUCUGCAGCGAAGAAAGGAAACGCUGGUGCCGCUGGCUCUGGGAGGUGGGUAGCGCCGUACUGCCCGCCGCGGCUGUGGUCCACUUUGCGGCCGCAGUGGCGAGAGCUGACGUGUAGCGCAGCAGUGCUGGCACGUCCAGACCUGAUUGAGGUUGUGGUAGACAUCAAGGGUGGGGGCGACUCCCCAGAAGCCGCUGCGGAGCCUAAGGCGGGGCGGCGGUCUGCUGCGGCUUCGGCGAAGAAGUCUACUGUGCGCAAGGGGCGUUCGGUCAAGGACGCAGUUCACCUGGUAUGACGUAUGCGAAUGACCACCUGCUCAGCGCUUCAACCGUCUCGCUCGCUCGCUCGUCCUGCUUACCGUGCCCCCCCCCCCCCCUCUGCGCCGCAUGCGGAGCCUGGGCUCAUUGCGUUGAGCCCUCGAGACGCGCUCCCCCUCCGUCGCCUCCAUCCAUGAUCACAGACAUAUCUUUUUUUCUCCUUCCUUUGCUCGGCUCUGUUGCAGUGUGUGCACGUGUGUGUGUGUGGCUACCUGUGCAACACCUUCGCUGCCGCCCACUUCUAUUCACUGCACUCUUCUCGCUCUGUCGUGGUCUCUUUAACCGUUGAUGACCCCCCCCCCCCCCCCG
rnacentral:misc_RNA from 1 species